rnacentral:rRNA from 1 species
AUGCCAUGCCAUGACCACCUAGCUUCGAAUAUGCAUUGUUUUGGAUGUUGUCCAUUUUCUCCAUAUGAUGUUUCCAAUAUUGCUCACGAGGAGACCCCCAUAGUUUCCUCAUACAUAUUAGGAGACUUUGAUGCAUUCCAUACUUUGCAUGAUUCCCAUAAUUGCGUGCACCAUAUGCAUACCAUGAAUAACAAUGCUCUACAUUUUUCUCAUGAUGCAUUAAACAAUUUGAGUCUCCAUUAUGCUAUACGUAACAACAAACCCAUCAUGAUGGAUGACAUGUUUCUAUAUCAUGCAUCUCAUUUAUUUGAGCAUUGGAUAUUUCGUACUAACCAACACAUGCACGUAUGCAUCAUAAUGGAUGAUGUGUACAUCUAUCACGCACACACAAUUUUUUCUUUGUAUUUGUUUUGUGUAGGUACCCAUGAAUACUUGUCAACCUCACAAUCCCACGAGUUGACAAAACGAGCUCUAGAGAGCAAGGAUGAUUUGGGAUCCCAUGGAGUUUUAUUCCCACCACUCCCUUCACACAAUGAUUUCGCGCAUUUCUUCUACAUGGCCCUCACAUGGUUAUGGGCUAUUGUCCAUUACAUAUUUUAUGCCCAUCUUGCCAUGUUCACUUUGCAUGACAUGCUUAUUCUGAUGCCUUUACCAUGCAUUUGUGACCCAUGCUUUGCAUUACACAUGAUGAUUGAUUAUACUACUUGUAUGUGUAUUUGCAAGCUUGGUGGAGAUAUUGCUUGUUCUUGCCAUGUUUCCUUUAUGAUACAUUCCUAUGAUGAUACAUUGAUCUUGCUUUGUAAUCGUGCUUGUGAUAUGUCAUGUGCAUUACCUAUGCCUAUUAUUUGCUCACAUGACAUGAUUGCCACGCUUUCCUCAAGUAUGUUGCAUCUUUGCACUACUAGCUUGAAUGACUUGAUUGCCUCGCACAUAUGCACAUUAUGCUUGGAUUUUCUUGCACUUGCCCCAUGUGUUUAG